UACGUAGGGGGCUAGCGUUGUCCGGAUUUAUUGGGCGUAAAGAGCGUGUAGGCGGCCAGGUAGGUCUGCUGUGAAAACUCGAGGCUUAACCUCGAGAUGUCGGCGGAAACCAUCUGGCUAGAGUCCGGAAGAGGAGAGUGGAAUUCCUGGUGUAGCGGUGAAAUGCGCAGAUAUCAGGAAGAACACCCGGGGCGAAGGCGGCUCUCUGGGACGGUACUGACGCUGAGUGCGCGAAAGCCAGGGGAGCAAACGGG
rnacentral:rRNA from 1 species